GAGGACAACGACUGGGGGUGGUUCCUUACUGGGAGAACAAAAAACCAAGCUAUCAUCAACCUGAGCACACUUAAGCAGACCAAUCCCUCACUACUACACUUAAGCAACCUGAACUUGUUUACUCCACUAGACAGAUAGUAUAGUCACCUUCAGGCAUUAAUUUUUUCAGUUUUAUCCCAACUCUCCGAUGAUUAAUGGACCCUAAUAUGGCAUUCACCAGCUCUUGCACCCAUUGCUAUGUAAAACAUAUUGUCUUUCCCAUCAGUUCAAAAGAGACCAAAUACAAGGUGGCUGACAACUUGAGGAGGAGAGCACGAGGUGGAGGAUCUGCACCAGAAGGAGCAGCACUCCAACCAGCACCAACGACACAACCUAGAGGAGCAGCAACUACAGAUCGUGUCUAUUCCACCGGCCAUCAAUUAGCAACAAAGAACCUAGCCAAAAUUAACAAACCAUAACCACAUCCCCGUCUUCCAUCUUCGUCAGGUGGCCAAGGUGACAGCAAUUGAUGCGCACAGCGAACAUGUCACUGCUUGUCGAUCCAGCUGUGAAACGAUAAAUGGAUCAGGAACAUGCACACAACAAAUGGCUAGGAGGUGGCGGGCGAGAGCGAGCGGAAGAGCACCUGAAUGACGACGACAAUGGCGACC
rnacentral:lncRNA from 1 species